CUACGGGAGGCUCCAGUGGGGAAUAUUGGACAAUGGGGGAAACCCUGAUCCAGCAAUGCCGCGUGUGUGAAGAAGGCCUGCGGGUUGUAAAGCACUUUCGGUUGGGAGGACUGCUUCUAGCACUAAUAUUGUUGGAAGUUGACGUUACCUUCAGAAGAAGCACCGGCUAACUCCGUGCCAGCAGCCGCGGUAAUACGGAGGGUGCAAGCGUUAAUCGGAAUUACUGGGCGUAAAGCGCGCGUAGGCGGCUAGAUCAGUCGGGUGUGAAAGCCCCGGGCUUAACCUGGGAACUGCAUCCGAUACUGUCGAGCUUGAGUACAGGAGAGGAGAGUGGAAUUCCACAUGUAGCGGUGAAAUGCGUAGAUAUGUGGAGGAACACCAAUGGCGAAGGCAGCUCUCUGGCCUGAUACUGACGCUGAGGUGCGAAAGCGUGGGGAGCGAACAGGAUUAGAUACCCCAGUAGUC
rnacentral:rRNA from 1 species